AUGGCACCGAAGAAGAAACCUCAAUCAUCCAAAGGCAAAGGCAAAGGUUCUUCUUCUUCUUCUUCUUCUUUUUCUUCAACAGGUCCCAAAUUACAAAUAUCUGCUGAGAACGAGAAUCGUCUCCGACGACUUUUGCUUAAUUCCGGCCGGUCCACACAAUCUCCGGCGACAACUCCGGCAGAAGAUGCUCUCUCGAAAGCACAGAAAGCCAAGAAACUUCGUUCUAUAUACGAAAAGCUUUCUUGUGAGGGCUUUUCUGAUCAUCAAAUUGAACAAGCUUUAUCCGCUCUCAAGGAGAGAGCCACGUUUGAAGCUGCGUUAGAUUGGCUAUGCUUGAAUUUUAGAGGGAAUGAGCUUCCUCUGAAGUUUUCAAGUGGUACUUCCCAAUUGAACGAAGGUUCUGUUGGUAUCAUAUCAACUGCUCGAGAAGAUUGGGUUCCUUCAGCAGAUUCAUCUGUGGCAGAAGUUAAAGAUGAGAGAAUACCUAAAGUUUCAGUUGUGCCGAAGGGUCGAAGUGAUAGUGAAUCUCUACGUACAGUUGAACGUUCACAGGCUGAUUGGAUCCGUCAGUAUAUGGAACAACAGGAAGAGGAUGAAGCUGAAAGUUGGGAAUCUGGUUAUUUUGACGAUGGUUCCCUAGAGCAGCAGGUUCCGCGGAAAAAGCGUAGUAUUGAGUCCAUUGUCCAAGAAUUUCAUACUGCAAGGCUGGAAGCUAUUCAUGCAAAGGAGCGCGGAGACAAAAAGAGCCAUGAACAAGCCGGCCGAACCAUUCGGAAGAUCAAGCAGGAGAUAUCUGCUCUAGGGCUAUCGGCUGAUAUCCUGGAAUCUGCACAUGAAAGUGCUUCGAACCAUGCAGUACUGGACAUGUCCCCAGAGAAACUUGAUGUUGAUGAUGUUACUUUACACAAUUUCAGAACGUCGAAUAUUUAUGAACAGGCGAAUAUUCAUGAACACGAGAUAGAAAUAGAUGAAAAGGUAGCUGUCAAUAGCAGCUCUAAUGAAUUCACUGAAAACACUCCACCAAGUGUUCCUAUAGAUGACGAGGUGGCUUCAGGAGGAGCACCAGAAGACGUAGAGCUUGGUGAUUUCUUAUUUGAAGAAGAUUCCUCUGCUGAUGUGUCGUCUACUAUACUAGAGCUGCAGAAGAAAGAAAAGAUGAGAGAAUUAUGUAGUCAGAAGAACUUAGAGAAGUUAGAAGGUAUAUGGAAAAAGGGAGAUCCACAAAAGAUUCCAAAGGCUUUUCUUCACCAACUAUGUCAAAGAUCAGGGUGGGAGGCACCAAAGUAUGCGAAAACACCUGGAAAAGGAAAUAUUUCAAAUUACUCAGUCAGUGUAAUGCGCAAAGCCAGUGGGAGGGGUAAGAGCAGAAAAGCUGGAGGGCUAGUAACAAUCGAGCUUCCUAGUCAGGAUCAUACUUCUUCUACUGCUGAGGAUUCACAAAACAGAGUUGCAGCUUAUGCUCUCCAUCGCUUGUUUCCGGAUCUCCCAGUUCACAUGCCAAUUACCGAGCCAUAUGCAUCACUUAUUUUGCAGUGGGAGGAAGGUGAUUCCGUGAAAGAUAUUGUGGAUGAUCAAGUGGAACGAAGGGCCUAUUUUGUGGAUUCAUUACUAGACGCUAGCAGUUCAGAAACCAUAACUCAUUCUGAUGUCUCCAAUAAUGCUAUCGAAGAAAAGUUUUUAGAGCCUCACACCACAAAAGAUAAGACAGCGGCUGCUGAUUUUACAGCCAAAAAUCCCCGUAAAGAAGCAGAAAGUCUCUCUCUGAAAAAGGAACAGGAGGGGAGAAAGAAGCUGAAGAAGUACCAGGAAAUGUUAAAAUCACGGGCUGCCCUUCCUAUUGCUGACUUAAAAGGCAAGAUCCUGCAUUCGCUGGAGGAGAAUGAUGUUUUGGUCAUUUGUGGGGAAACAGGUUGCGGGAAAACAACUCAGGUCCCUCAAUUUAUACUGGAUGACAUGAUUGAAUCAGGACGUGGGGGACACUGUAACAUUAUAUGCACACAACCAAGGCGAAUCGCGGCUAUUUCUGUGGCUGAAAGAGUUGCUGAUGAGCGUUGUGAAUCUUCACCAGGUUCGAGUGAGUCCUUGGUUGGUUACCAAGUUCGCCUCGAUAGUGCAAGGAAUGAGAGAACAAAGCUCCUCUUUUGUACAACUGGCAUUCUUUUGAGAAUGUUUUCAGGAAAUAAAAACUUGGCUGGUUUUAGUCAUAUCAUUGUUGAUGAAGUGCAUGAGAGGUCACUUCUGGGUGAUUUUCUGCUCAUUGUCUUGAAGAGUCUCAUCCAGAAGCAAUCUGCCCUUGGUACGGCAAAACUGAAAGUUAUACUCAUGUCUGCGACAGUAGAUUCACAUUUGUUUUCUCAUUACUUUGGUGACUGCCCUGUACUUACUGCUCAAGGCCGAACACAUCCUGUUUCAACUUACUUUCUCGAGGAUAUUUAUGAGAGUAUCAAUUACCGCCUUGCAUCUGAUUCUCCUGCUUCUUUGAGCUAUGGGACAUCUACUAGGGAAAAGAAUGCUCCUAUUGGCAAUCAUAGGGGGAAGAAGAACCUUGUUCUCUCUGCAUGGGGUGAUGAAUCGUUGCUGUCUGAAGAAUACACAAAUCCCUAUUAUGAUCCCAGUAAUUAUGAAAACUACAGUGGACAAACUCAAAAAAAUUUGAGGAAAUUGAAUGAAGACAUUAUUGAUUAUGAUCUUCUCGAAGACCUGGUAUGCUACAUUGAUGAAACAUACCCGGAGGGUGCUAUAUUGGUUUUCUUACCGGGGGUUGCAGAAAUACAUACCUUACUCGAUAGACUGUCUGUCUCCUUCCAGUUUAGUGGACAGUCUUCUGAAUGGAUUCUUCCUUUGCAUUCUUCUGUAGCAUCUGAGGAUCAGAAAAAAGUGUUUAUGAGACCUCCAGAAAACAUCCGUAAGGUUAUAAUAGCUACAAAUAUUGCAGAGACUAGCAUAACCAUAGAUGAUGUGGUUUAUGUGGUUGACUGUGGAAAGCACAAAGAAAAUCGCUAUAAUCCGAAGAAGAAAUUGUCGAGCAUGGUUGAAGAUUGGAUAUCUCAAGCUAAUGCAAGGCAACGUCGAGGCAGAGCUGGACGUGUAAAGCCAGGAAUCUGCUUUUGUCUCUAUACUUCUUACCGAUAUGAGAAGCUCAUGCGGCCUUACCAGAUCCCGGAGAUGUUGCGGAUGCCGUUGGUAGAAUUGUGCUUACAAAUCAAAUUGCUAUCACUUGGAAGCAUAAAGCUAUUUUUGUCUAUGGCUCUUGAACCUCCGAAGGAUGAGGCUAUUAUGUCAGCAAUUUCUUUGUUGUAUGAGGUUGGUGCUGUUGAAGGGGAUGAAGAGUUAACUCCUCUCGGGUAUCAUUUGGCGAGACUUCCUGUUGAUGUGUUGGUGGGAAAGAUGCUGUUAUAUGGUGGAGUAUUUGGCUGCUUGUCACCAAUUCUAUCUAUUUCAGCCUUCCUGAGUUACAAGUCUCCAUUUGUUUAUCCAAAAGAUGAGAGGCAAAAUGUUGAAAGAGCCAAGUUGGCACUUUUGGGUGAUAAACUUGGCUGUGAAACUGACUCUGGCAGUGGUAACUGGCAAUCUGACCAUCUCCUAAUGAUGGUAGCGUAUAAAAAGUGGGAGAAAAUUUUGCGGGAGAAUGGAGUCAAAGCAGCAAAGCAGUUUUGCAGCUCAUAUUUCUUAAGCAGUUCUGUCAUGUAUAUGAUAAGAGACAUGAGAAUACAAUUUGGAACAUUACUAGCUGACAUUGGACUCAUCAACCUCCCAAAGAAGUCGGAGAUUGAUUGGAAAAAGAAAGAGAAGCUUGACAGUUGGCUUUCAGAUAUAUCACAGCCUUUUAAUAUAAAUUCAAAUCAUUCCUCAAUUCUUAAGGCCAUAUUGUGUGCAGGUCUGUAUCCCAAUGUAUCUGCGAGAGAAGAAGGCAUUGCUACAACUGCUCUUGGGAACCUAAAACAGAAUGCAGGUCUUUCAGCAAAGAGUUACCCUGCGUGGUAUGAUGGAAAACGGGAAGUUCACAUACACCCUUCCUCAAUCAACUUUGACUUAAAAGCCUUUCAGUACCCAUUUCUCGUCUUUCUUGAAAAGGUCGGAAGUGGGUGGGGAAAGAAAUUCUAGGUGCCUUUUCUUGAUGAAGUUUGCUGUUUGAACUAAACACCUUUCUCCCUUUGUUUGGGAUAAAGAAAGAAAUCUCAAACUAAUUGUAUACUCGACACUAUUGCAUUCAUUUGUCCAAAUACAUCACAUUUUAGCAUUCAGGAACAGUUCCGUUAAUGUUUUCCUAUUAGACCUUGCAAAACCCCAAAUAUGUAAAACUGACAUCAUCUCUAAGCAUCUUGGUGUGACUAAAUUUUUGAAUAAAGGGCACAAAUCCUCUGAUAAUCACGUAAGCUGCAAGUGGCUUAUGAAGAGCUCUGAUCUAUGGCUAUCUAUGGUGUAUAGACAUAACAUACAGUCUGCAGUUAGAGGCUUAUUUGGUUUUUUUUUUUUUUCCUGAUGCAACUGAUUAUCAAUCAGCCUCCAAAACCAUGAUAAGAGCUUUACUCAGAAUGAACUUUUGCUUUCUAGGACACCGACGCUAACAGGGUGAUUAUGGUUGGAAUCCGUAUCUAGUGUGCAAGUAGAGACUAACAAGGUAUUUUUGCGAGACACCACUGUUGUCUCUCCUUAUACUAUAUUGCUUUUUGGUGGACCAAUAAACGUUCAGCACCAGACUGGAACAGUUACCAUAGAUGGAU